GAUGAACGCUAGCGGCAGGCUUAACACAUGCAAGUCGAGGGGUAUGCCGAUUUAUCGGCAGAGACCGGCGCACGGGUGCGUAACGCGUAUGCAAUCUACCUUUCACAGGAGGGAUAGCCCAGAGAAAUUUGGAUUAAUACCUCAUAGUAUAGCAGUUUCGCAUGAAACCACUAUUAAAGUUCCAACGGUGAAAGAUGAGCAUGCGUCCAUUAGCUAGAUGGUAAGGUAACGGCUUACCAUGGCUACGAUGGGUAGGGGUCCUGAGAGGGAGAUCCCCCACACUGGUACUGAGACACGGACCAGACUCCUACGGGAGGCAGCAGUGAGGAAUAUUGGUCAAUGGACGCAAGUCUGAACCAGCCAUGCCGCGUGCAGGAUGACGGUCUAUGGAUUGUAAACUGCUUUUGUACGAGAAGAAAC
rnacentral:rRNA from 1 species